GGCGAAGCCGACUCCGUGACAUGAAAUUCCGGCUGCGAUUUCAGAUCUGUGUUGUUUACAUCCAGCUGCACGGGAAAGGCUAUAAUUAAAAGACCUGGCCCACACGGACCAUGAUACACACGUGAUUCCCGAUGCCCUUCUCACGUGGGGGACAUUCAGAAGAUCUGCUGUGCGGAAAAAUAUCUGUUUGGACUAUGAAAGCCAUCGACUACCUUCUGGUAUAUGUACUGUAGUUUAACGCUAUAGAGAACGUGUCUUCUGGUUAAAACACAGAAUAAUGUACAUUGACUGUAUAUUUAUAUGUAUUUGACUAACAUUCCUUCUAAAACUUAAAUUGUCUUCACCUGAUCAAGUUUCUUUCAGUGCUCCUGUCUGAACGAACUCAAUCUCAGUUCUGGUGUGUCCAUUCUGGUCCUCCAAAGGUAUUUGUUGAAGCACAGUUUUGUUCUCAGAUUCCACUGUUUCCAGUUUAAUAUUCUUUCCCAGGUCUUGAACUGUGGGGUUGCCGAUAUAAAGCUAUGUAUGAUACCUACUGGACUGCUGCCCCCCCCAGGACCAGGGUUAAACACUGCUGCUUUUAAUAUUUUCUGAUCUGUUUUUUUCCAUCAGCAGCCUUGCAAAUACAUUUGCACGGUGCGUGAAUGGCACAUAAAAUUCAGUUUAGACACGUCAAACAAGUAUUUUUAAACAGUUCUGUGUAUCUAGGUCAGGCAAGUACUAAAAAACAUUUGGCUAAUGCCUAAAUAAAUCGGUGAUGAUGUAACUAGUUACGUAUAAAAUCUUAUGUCACGUUUCUGAAGUUUGGAUGUAUCUGUAAGAUUCUGAUGAAUCAGUUUAAUUAAGAAAAAAUGGUCUUCUAGGGCUAAAGUACUCGAUGGAGUACCAAAUGACAAAUCAGCUUCUUAAUUGACCAGAAUUAAAUUUGUAGGUCUUUAGAAGGUGGUGAUUUAAUUGUAACCAAUAAAACAAACCUCCCAUGAAACUCU